rnacentral:pre_miRNA from 1 species
UGUCAGUUACCAAUUAUGUCAGUUAGUAACUGACAUAGUUAGUACUACAUU